UCCGUAGGUGAACCUGCGGAAGGAUCAUUAAACAAAAGUACUGGGGAAUGACCCAGGUACUUCACCCAUGUUUUAUACGCACCCAAAGUUUCCUUGGCGGCUCUGUCCGCCAGUUGGACAACAAUCAAACCCUUAUAGUUGCAGUCAGCGUCGAAUAAACUUAAUAAUUAAAACUUUCAACAACGGAUCUCUUGGUUCUGGCAUCGAUGAAGAACGCAGCGAGAUGCGAUACGUAGUGUGAAUUGCAGAAUUCAGUGAAUCAUCGAAUCUUUGAACGCACAUUGCACCUCUCGGUAUUCCGGGAGGUAUGCCUGUUCGAGCGUCAUUAUGUACCCUCAAGCUCUGCUUGGUGUUGGGUGUUUGUUCCGCCUCUGCGUGUGAACUCGCCUUAAAACAAUUGGCAGCCGGCGUACUUGUUUCGGAGCGCAGCACAUUUUGCGCUCUAGACCAAUGUACAGCGGCAUCCAAGAAGCCUUUUUUUAACAAUCUUGACCUCGGAUCAGGUAGGGAUACCCGCUGAACUUAAGCAUAUCAAUAAGCGGAGGA
rnacentral:rRNA from 1 species